AUCUGCAGAAUUCAGGGGUUGAUCCCGCCGGAGGUUACUGCUAUCGGUGUUCGACUAAGCCAUGCUAGUUAAAUGUUCUUCGUGAACAUAGCGGACUGCUCAGUAACACGUGGACAAUCUGCCCUUGGGUUCAGCAUAACCCCGGGAAACUGGGGAUAAUUCUGAAUAGAUCACAUAUGCUGGAAUGCUUUGUGAUCCAAAGAUCCGUCGCCCAAGGAUGGGUCUGCGGCCUAUCAGGUUGUAGUGGGUCUAGAGUACCUACUAGCCAACGACGGGUACGGGUUGUGAGAGCAAGAGCCCGGAGAUGGAUUCUGAGACAUUAAUCCAGGCCCUACGGGGCGCAGCAGGCGCGAAACCUUUACACUGCGGGAAACCGCGAUAAGGGGACACCGAGUGCCAGCAUACAAUGCUGGCUGUCCACAUGUGUAAAUAGCAUGUGAUAGCAAGGGCCGGGCAAGACCGGUGCCAGCCGCCGCGGUAACACCGGCGGCCCGAGUGGUAAUCACUAUUAUUGGGUCUAAAGGGUCCGUAGCCGGUUUAAUCAGUCUUCCGGGAAAUCUGACAGCUCAACUGUUAGGCUUCCGGGGGAUACUGUUAGACUUGGGACCGGGAGAGGUAAGAGGUACUACAGGGGUAGGAGUGAAAUCUUGUAAUCCCUGUGGGACCACCAGUGGCGAAGCGUCUUACCAGAACGGGUCCGACGUGAGGGACGAAAGCUGGGGCACGAACCGGAUUAGAUACCCGGGUAGUCCCAGCCGUAAACGAUGCUGCUAGUGUCUGAUGUGCGACGUUUCAGUGCGCAGCAGCGUGAGCGAGCCCCCUGGGAGUACGCGCAGCUGAACUUAAGAAUUGGCGGGGGGAGCAUACA
rnacentral:rRNA from 1 species